rfam:Myotis davidii contig60316, whole genome shotgun sequence.
GAGACACCCUUAUGGGGCAAGACUUGCUUCAGUGGGGCUUUGGUGCUCACUGAGUCUUCCCCCUGAUUGUGUCCCU